UGCAGUCGNNCGGCAGCGCGGGGCAACCUGGCGGCGAGUGGCGAACGGGUGAGUAAUAUAUCGGAACGUGCCCUGGAGUGGGGGAUAACGCAGCGAAAGUUGCGCUAAUACCGCAUACGAUCUAAGGAUGAAAGCGGGGGAUUCGCAAGAACCUCGUGCUCCUGGAGCGGCCGAUAUCUGAUUAGCUAGUUGGUGGGGUAAAGGCCUACCAAGGCAUCGAUCAGUAGCUGGUCUGAGAGGACGACCAGCCACACUGGAACUGAGACACGGUCCAGACUCCUACGGGAGGCAGCAGUGGGGAAUUUUGGACAAUGGGCGCAAGCCUGAUCCAGCAAUGCCGCGUGAGUGAAGAAGGCCUUCGGGUUGUAAAGCUCUUUUGUCAGGGAAGAAACGGUGCGGGCUAAUAUCCUGCACUAAUGACGGUACCUGAAGAAUAAGCACCGGCUAACUACGUGCCAGCAGCCGCGGUAAUACGUAGGGUGCAAGCGUUAAUCGGAAUUACUGGGCGUAAAGCGUGCGCAGGCGGUUUUGUAAGUUUGUCGUGAAAUCCCCGGGCUCAACCUGGGAAUUGCGAUGAAGACUGCAAGGCUAGAAUCUGGCAGAGGGGGGUAGAAUUCCACGUGUAGCAGUGAAAUGCGUAGAGAUGUGGAGGAACACCGAUGGCGAAGGCAGCCCCCUGGGUCAAGAUUGACGCUCAUGCACGAAAGCGUGGGGAGCAAACAGGAUUAGAUACCCUGGUAGUCCACGCCCUAAACGAUGUCUACUAGUUGUCGGGUUUUAAUUAACUUGGUAACGCAGCUAACGCGUGAAGUAGACCGCCUGGGGAGUACGGUCGCAAGAUUAAAACUCAAAGGAAUUGACGGGGACCCGCACAAGCGGUGGAUGAUGUGGAUUAAUUCGAUGCAACGCGAAAAA
rnacentral:rRNA from 1 species